rnacentral:rRNA from 1 species
CCUACGGUGGGCAGCAGUGGGGAAUAUUGGACAAUGGGCGAAAGCCUGAUCCAGCCAUGCCGCGUGUGUGAAGAAGGCCUUCGGGUUGUAAAGCACUUUCAGUGGGGAAGAAAGCCUUGGGGCUAAUACCCUCGAGGAAGGACAUCACCCACAGAAGAAGCACCGGCUAACUCCGUGCCAGCAGCCGCGGUAAUACGGAGGGUGCGAGCGUUAAUCGGAAUUACUGGGCGUAAAGCGCGCGUAGGCGGUCUGAUAAGCCGGUUGUGAAAGCCCCGGGCUCAACCUGGGAACGGCAUCCGGAACUGUCAGGCUAGAGUGCAGGAGAGGAAGGUAGAACUCCCGGUGUAGCGGUGAAAUGCGUAGAGAUCGGGAGGAAUACCAGUGGCGAAGGCGGCCUUCUGGACUGACACUGACGCUGAGGUGCGAAAGCGUGGGUAGCAAACAGGAUUAGAUACCCUAGUAGUC